ensembl:lncRNA
AUGAGCAGGAAUCACUUUGCAGUAUUAGCAUUAAAUCAGGAGGAAAUCUUUCAGAGCCACAUGGAGCAAAUUACCACCCUAAUUCUAAGCAUCUGGACUCAGUCCUCAAAGCUUCAUGGGAAAGAGUACAGGUUUUGGGUCACCAGAAGGGUAGCCAGGAUACUGCCAACCAGGAUAAGGCCAAGUCUUCUGGGGGUAUUUGGGAGGGUGAGGCUUUUCACCUGGUGCAUCCGAUUCAGUGUCAGAGCCAGAGGCUGGAACAGGUUUUGGGUCACCAGAAGGGUAGCCAGGAUAAGGCCAAGGCUUCUGGGGGUAUUUGGGAGGUUGAGGCUUUUCAGCUGGUGCAUCCGAUUCAGUGUCAGAGCCAGAGGCUGGAACAGGUUUCAAAGUGGGUUUUGGUCUGCCAUGAUAGAGGUAAUCAGGAUGGUAGUGUGGCCAAGACAUCUCGGGGUAUUUGGGAGGUUGAGGCUCUCCAGUUGGUGCUUGGGCAACUAGAGUAGUUGUAACAGGUUUCUCCGUUUGUUUAGCUGUGGCAUAAACCCUUCCAGGAUAAAGAUAAUGAGGGAAAGGCCAAAACCCUUGUGGAUACACUUGAGGGUACACAAGAGGUGGUGGCUUCAGUGUUGCAGUAUCAGACACUUGUGGCAUUGCAGGUGCAUCUGGACUUUGUGUAUCAGGAGAGAAGGGAGGCAGCAGAAUGUGCAGAUAUUUAGGAGGAUGAGGUCCCAGGAAGGUUUCAUUUGCAAUGGUAGAGGUCAUAGGACAAGUAAUGACUGCAGAGUUUCCCUGCCACUGUAUCUGCAUCACAUAAUACCCUCCCUGAAAAACAAUGAACAUCAAGGUUGGUCUACAUUACCCAGUUUUCGUGCUAAAUUGAAUGGCGAAAGCAAUACCUGUUGCACAACACCACAUCCAUCAUAGGGAGUAGCAUAGACAAGACCUGCAUAAGUGAGUGCUGUGUGUCCACAGUGAGGUGGCAACUGAGUGAGAGGAACAGGCACCCCAUUACCUGUGACAAAGGUAUAAGGACUAUUACAAAACUAUAUGGAAUUCUAUUGUGUAUUGAAGCAUGUAAAGUCUAGGUGGGACAAGCAAGUUAGUACAGCUUGAAGACAAUACUGGUAUCAAAAACUUUAGUAAACAAACAUAAUACAUUUUCAGGUUACCUCGACAGAGUUCAACAUUUGCUACUUCUGGACCACUGAGCUGUAACUUCACGAGAUCGUCACCACACCUCAACUUUGGAGACAUGGCAUCCCAGGCUGCUUCAGAAGAACUGAGUAGCUGUCCUUUAAUUAAUGAUUUUUUCUGAAGACCUGAAAUGUGUAUAUAGUUCUCUUACAUUCAAAUUUUCAAUUUACAUAUUUAUACACCAAUAUUUAACCAAGCAUUAAUUACAUACCUGAAACUCCGGCGUUAUCACCAAGAUGGUCAAAAUCAGCUAAGGGCUCAAAAUAUCCCUUGUGGUCUGAUAUAUUUUUUUCUGAAAUAUCUU